rnacentral:rRNA from 1 species
UACGUAGGGUGCGAGCGUUGUCCGGAAUUAUUGGGCGUAAAGAGCUCGUAGGCGGUGUGUCACGCCGUUCGUGAAAACCUGCAGCUUAACUGUGGGCGUGCGGUCGAUACGGGCAUCACUGGAGUUCGGCAGGGGAGACUGGAAUUCCUGGUGUAGCGGUGAAAUGCGCAGAUAUCAGGAGGAACACCGAUGGCGAAGGCAGCACUCUGGGACGUGAC